rnacentral:lncRNA from 1 species
UCCCUUCCUUCAGUGAAUACAGUGACUUUAGGGGCAUAUUACUUUGCACUUAUCAUUUUCCUAUUCAUAAUUUUUUCAGCUAUGGAACUAUUAGAGGACUAUAUUUCAUUGAAGCUGUUGUCAAAGCAGUCGGCGCCUGCUGGAAGCUUGAAGUUUGGAGGUCUUCUGUCACAUUUUUUCCAUAGAUGUUAGACCCAAACCCAUCCUUCAAAUGAAUACUUAAGACUGGUUUCUGAUUUGGUGAAACUUUUAAUGUCAUACUACUUGUAUUGCAAAUUGCAUAGAGUACAAUG